GAAGGUUUGGGUGAACUGUUGGAGUUCGUUUUUUUCUCUUUUUCUCCCUAAAAAAGAUGUUGGGAGUAAGAUUAGCAACCUUUUGGAGUUGCUCUAACAACAUUAAAAAUACAAAGAUAAUUAUCAGAUUUGCAUCUUCCUCAUCUCCCACACAACAACAAUGGCAUCUCAGUCAAAUCACAUUAUGCCUAUCAACGAAGACAACUACUUGGAUCUGGCACCGCCAUUACUUCCACAAGUACCAAGCAUGGUCAUGUCGUUGGUUGUAGGUGCCACAUCCUCGCCAAAUUUCUCUGGGAUCAACAUUCCUACUGAUCAUACGGAAAGAAUAGAGUUAGAAAAUGUAAGUCAUAUUGUACCUAUGUAAAUAUGUUUGCAUAUUCUCCAUGAUUUCUAUCUUACUGCGUAUGAUAACCUCUCCAAACCCAAACAGGAUUCUGCUAAAAUUGAUUUUACUACUCGAGUAGAAAAUUCUCUAGAAGAUAGGAUACCAAAGGUUGGUAUGAAAUUCUGCACUGAGGAAGAAGCCUAUAACUUUUACAAUGCUUACACCAAAGAUAAGGGUUUCAACAUCCGAAGGAGUAGUUCUAAAAAUACUACAACAAUAAAGAAUAGAACUUUUUGUUGUUCUCGUGCAUGUAUCAAAUUAAAUCUUUUUUAUACUAGUUCUUUACGGUUUGGGAUAGAACAUCAAUUUAAUCAAUUUUUUUUAUUUAUCAAUAGGUAUUCAGGUCAUGAUAAAAGAGAAGAAAAUUCCAAGUAUAGUAGGUCUGAGACACGAUGCAUGUGUCAAGCAUGCAUGAAAGAGAAGAAAAUUCCAAGUAUAGUAGGCCUGAGACACGAUGCAUGUGUCAAGCAUGCAUGAAGAUAAGUCCCACGGAUGGGUUGUACUACAUCUAUGAAUUUGAGCCUAAGCAUAACCAUAUUUUUGCUACUGCCAUCCAAGCCUAGCACUUAAGAUCUCAAAGGAGAAUAACUACAGCACAGAUUGCCGGUGUCGAAGCUGCUAAAGUGGUUGUGAUUUCAAAUAAAUCCACUUUUUAUCUCAUGGUAAAAGAAGCCGGUGGAAAUGAGAAUCUUGGAUUUACACAUGAAGAUAUGAAAAAUAAAUUAUACUCAAAGAGAUCACUGAAGGUAAAACAAGAGACACAGGAGGUGUGUUGGAAUAUUUGGAGAAGAAAGCAUCAAAAGAUGGGAAGUUUUUCCAUUCCUUUCAGGUUGACGAUGACGAUUUGAUAAUGAAUAUUCCUAGGCUGAUUCUAAAAUGGUUUCGGACUAUGAAGUUUAUGGUGAUGUCGUUUGCUUUGACCUAAAUGAUGGACAUUCAUUCGGUUUGCUAGUUGGAGUGAACAAUCAUAAGAAAACUAUUUUUGGUGCUGCACUUUUGUAUGAUGAAACUGUUGAAAGUUUUGUGUGGCUUUUCAAAACCCAGGCAAGAAGCCAAAGACCAUUUUAAUUGACGAAGAUGCAGCAAUGGCAAAAGCAAUCAAGAUAGUACUACCAGAGAGUCACCACAGGAUUUGUGUUUGGCAUAUGAACCAGAAUGCAUGCAAGCACCUUUCUGAAGUUGUGGAAGAAUAUAAGAUGUUCAAUACAGAUUUUCAAAACUGUAUUUAUGAUCAAGAGGAUAAGGAGGACUUUAUAAAUGUGUGGAACAAUUUGCUAGAUAAGUAUAAGCUAUAAGAAAAUAAAUGGCUCGAAGUAUUAUUUGAUAAAAGGGAGCAAUGGGCCUUAGCAUACGGAUGAAAUACAUUUUCUGCUGAUAUGGUUAGCACUCAAAGAAGUGAAAGCAUGAAUAAUGAAUUGAACGGAUAUAUUAGUGUCAAAUAUGACAUACUCUUUUUGAGCACUUUGACAGGUUGGUGGGAGAUAAAAGAUACGAAGAGGUAAAAUAUGAUUUCAAGGCAACACAAAGUACACCAAAGUUGAAACCAGACCUGAGAAUAUUAAGGCAUGUAGCAAAAAUUUAUACCCCAGUAGUAUUCAAGCUAGUACAAGAACAGGUGAUGCAAACACUAAAUUACGAUCUAUUCUAUUCUGGUGAUAUUGAUGCUGAAAAGUUGUAAAAAAUAAAGGUUUGUGGCAAGAAAAACGAGCGUGUUGUAAAGUUUUCUGCACUGGAGGUCAUGUGAAGUUUAGCUGAAAAAAGUUCGAAUUUGCUGAAAUCUUAUGCUGCCAUGCAUUGAAGAUACUUGAUAUUAACAAUAUAAAAAAAAAUCAUAAACAGUGCAUACUCAACAGAUGGACAAUUGAUGCAAAAGUGGCUCAUAUAAAGAGCAAACCUGAGAUACAUGAAGAUCCCAAAAUAAAGCUAUCAAAAUGCAGAAUAGAGUUGUGAAAAAAUGUUCCUUCAGUUAGCUAACCAAGCUGCUGAAUCCGAUGAAACAUACUCUAUUGCUGUGAACAGUCCAGAGAAAUUAGCAGAGGAUGUGGAGAAAAGCCUAAAAAAAUAGAGGUGAUACAUAUACGGGUAGUUCAUCUCAGCCGCAAGGUUUGCACUGGAAUACUACUUGUGUUAACCCCACAUAUACCACACAAUUUAUUUGUUUUGUAAUUUUUUUUAAAAAAUGACCUUUGCAGCUACACUACAACAAGACCAGGCUAUAAAACCAAAAGGUGUCAAGGUUAAGGAGAAGGCAAUCCAUGUAUCUGACAGACCAACUGGUGGAUUUGAGAAGGCAACACAAAAGGAAAAAAAAGAACAAGAAUAACCCAAAGAUAUCUGGUUCUACAUCUGGUUUUGAGAAUGCAACACAAAAAAGGAACAAGACCAAUAAUGACUCAAAGGCAUCUGGCUUAGCAAUGGAAUCAGAUAUUGUGACACAUUUGCAAACACACGCCAUAUUGGUAUAAGAUUUCAAGAUUAUUUGCUAUUACUAUUAUUAAGACUAGUCACAUAUUCAGUAGUGAUAGUCAAAUCCCUUUUUUUUUAACAGGGCCAUUUAGGGACCAAUAAACAUCAACAUCACAUACAAACACAAGGCUACUAUCCAGUUGGUAAUGCUUUUAUGCAUCCAUUCUUCGGUUCUUUCUCUAGGGUCCCAUGAUCAUGGUCAACAUACACAUCAAGGAAAUACCACUCAAUCAUUUAUUACAAAUCCCUACAAUAAUAUGUUUUCCCGUUUUAAUUGAACUAUUAAAAGCCAUAUCCUUUUAGAAGAAUGGAUGUGUUCUGCGCACUAUCUAUCGAAUCCUUUGUAUCAAACAAUUUAUGUUACCUAGGAACUAUAUUUUCUGUGUUUUGUACAGAAACAAUUAAUACAAUUUCGUUUCUAUCCACGAACUAAUCAACUGAUUACAAGUAUCAUACUGAAGUGGUAAAGUGCAUAUUCCUCAAAAAAAAGGGGAAGGCACAAGACAACUAACCAGACCAAAUUUGCCAGGAGGAAGAUUCUUUGCUCCGAGAAGAGGACCUCGAAGGAUACACCAUCACCAUCACCAUCGUCUUCACAGCACCUGCUGUCAGCAAGCUUAUGCAUCACCCUCCUAACUUGAUAUCCCACCAUGGUAAUCCUGAUUGGACGCAGCGACAAGGAAACCGCAAAAUAGAAAUCCCCACUGCCCUAAUCGAGAUUUUGCAGCAGGAAUCGAGGUUGUGGACACCAAAUCGAAAUCAACAAUAAUCGAGAUUCCACACCCCAAAUCAGCUCCCUGCCACCGUGCUUUAACUUGUUGUUGCACCAAUCGAACUUCUUGCUACUAGAUGUAAAAUCCCGUUGAGAUCGAGCUCUUCGAUUUGUGCAGCAGCUAGGCGGAUCAGCUUGGAGUAGAGAAGGGGCAAUGAUAGAGCGGAGGACGGAGCGGCGACAGACUAGAUGACUGUUCCGUUUGGCGUGGGAUAACAAUGGAAAAUUAGUGGACCUACCUCUGGAGAGGAAGCUAAUAGGUGGUCUCCACGUGUGGAGGGACAACAUAUGGAGACAUGCAAAGGAGACACCAAAACCGCAGCCGGCUCGUGCUCCCACGCAUACCAGACAACUUCGUCGUCCGUCGUAGGAACCGCUGACUGCAAGGUCGAUUCCUUGGGAUCGAGUGAGCACGCCGUUCCCGCGGAGGCCGCCGCUCCUUACCGGCGCCGUUCCUGUCCCCGUCGAGCCCUGCACCUCGCUGUCCCCUUCAACCGCCGCGCCACCGCCGACAUGCCGGCCGCCGCGCUGCUGCGCCGUUUGACUGCGGCACCCCAAGCUCGUGUGCUGCCGGUUAGCGCGUACCGCUCUUCCGGCCAAAUCAGCCGGUCGCGACUCGCUGCGAGAGGGGAGGAAACAC
rnacentral:lncRNA from 1 species